GGAGAGAUGGCCGAGCGGCUGAAGGCGCCCGCCUGGAAAGCGAGUAUACGGCUUAAACCGUAUCGGGGGUUCGAAUCCCCCUCUCUCCGCCA
rnacentral:tRNA from 1 species